rnacentral:rRNA from 1 species
UGCGUAACACGUGAGCGACCUGCCCUUCCGGCGGGGGAUAGCCGGGCCAACGCCCGGGUAAUACCGCAUACGUUUCCCUGGGGGGCAUCCUUGGGGAAAGAAACUUCCGGGGCGGAGGGAGGGGCUCGCGGCCUAUCAGCUAGUUGGGGGGGUAACGGGCCUCCCAAGGCGACGACGGGUAGCUGGUCUGAGAGGAUGGCCAGCCACAUUGGGACUGAGAGACGGCCCAG